rnacentral:rRNA from 1 species
GAUGAACGCUGGCGGCGUGCUUAACACAUGCAAGUCGAACGGACUUUACAUGAAACCUAGUGAUUGUAAAGUUAGUGGCGGACGGGUGAGUAACGCGUGAAUAACCUGCCUUAUACUGGGGGACAACAGUUGGAAACGACUGCUAAUACCGCAUGACAUACCGAGAGGGCAUCCUUUUGGUAUCAAAGAUUUAUCGCUGUAAGAUGGGCUCGCGUAUGAUUAGAUAGUUGGUGAGGUAACGGCUCACCAAGUCGACGAUCAUUAGCCGGACUGAGAGGUUGAACGGCCACAUUGGGACUGAGAUACGGCCCAGACUCCUACGGGAGGCAGCAGUGGGGAAUAUUGCGCAAUGGGGGAAACCCUGACGCAGCAACGCCGCGUGAAGGAUGAAGGUUUUCGGAUUGUAAACUUCUUUUGUUAAGGACGAAGAAUGACGGUACUUAACGAAUAAGCCACGGCUAACUACGUG